rnacentral:rRNA from 1 species
AUGAAGCUCUCCAUGCAGUCGCUGGCCCGGAAGCUCUCCAUCCCGUCGCCCAAGCGGGGCAAGAAGCAGCAGCAGCAGCAGGACGGCGGCAAGCGCGGCAUCUCCCGGAGCGAGGCGCCGUCGUUCGCGUCGGCGUCCUCCUCCUCCACCACCUCGUCCUCCUCCGAGGACGCGCUGCCGCGGGCGUCGACGCCGCGGUCGGUGCUGCCCGCGGAGAUCUCGCGGCGGGAGCUGGAGGCCGUGCUCCGGCGGCUGGGCCACGAGGAGCCCUCCGACGACGAGCUCGACGCCGUGGCGGCCAUCGCCGCCGCCGGGGAGGCCGGCCCCGAGGACGAGCUGAUGGAGGCGUUCAACGUGUUCGACGCCGACGGCGACGGCCGCAUCACCGCCGAGGAGCUCCGCGGCGUGCUGCUCGCCAUCCUCGGCGGCGAGGCGGACGGGUGCAGCCUCGACGACUGCCGCCGCAUGAUCGGCGGCGUCGACGCCGACGGCGACGGCUUCGUCGGCUUCCAGGACUUCGCGCGCAUGAUGAUGGUGUCCACCACGGCGGCGGCGGCCACCACCUCGGCCGGCCCGAGAUUCCUCUGA